GACAAACCAUUCCCUGCGAGGGGGCACCGCCGGCGGCCGGGCGGCCGGGCGGGGCGGGGAGCGCGGGCCCUCCCACACAGCCCAGCCUUUCUCUUCCCUCCUUCCUUGAAAUCCUAGCUGCCAUGGAAGUCCUGCUUUCCAACACAACUGAAACUUUCAGAAGCCUUUUAAUUGUAAACUGUAAAACCCUAAAAUUUGUGGAUGAAAAAGCACUCUAUAAAUGAUUUAGCUUUCUGGCUUGUAAGUACAAGGGGAAAAGCACCGAAGCCACCUGACUGAAGAUCUACUGAAACCCUUUAAGCCUGGAAUGACCACUCAUUCAUGGCACUAGCAAUAAAAAAAAUAAUAAAAAAAGACACUGAGAACAAAUUGAAGCCUUUAAAGGCUCAAACUCUGGAAAUACAAGAAGCUACUGGAAAAGAUGGCAAUGAUGAACACUUCAGUGUACAUCUGGAAGCAGUAAGUGUUUUUUAAAAGCAAGUCUAUCAGAAAGAGGUUUUCCUUCUGAAAAUAGCAAGUGCUGAUGCAUUUGGCAUAUUUAACACUUCUCAGCAAUCCAAGAAAAGGAGGAUAUUCAUGAAGCUGUUACAAGAAAUGAGGAGUAUUGCAUUCUAAAUAAAAAUGAAGCAUAUUAAAUUUA